UGCAGGCCAGACACUAACAUGGCAAUGCACUUUUAUAUACCUCUUUAAGUAAACAUACCUUCAUAUAUAUAGCCUCAUGAGAGUAAUUUUCAAUAAUUGCUGAUUGUUGAGGAUAUAUCCAAAAUCUUAAAAAGAGGACGAAGGUUGUCAAGCCUACUUCUGCAAUUGAUGAAAGGUGGUAUAACUUAUUUGGUAUGUUACUGCCAGACCAAAAUAUAAUGCUUAUCUACAGCAAGUAGGAAUCAUGAAGCCCAUCUAAAGAAAAAGUGAUAUUUUGACCAACAUGCAUGUUUUACAUGAUGAACAGAAGAGUUCUAAUGGUUGCAUCGGAAGUAGGUCCCACCUAGUCAUUGAAUAUGAAGACUACUUCCGAUGACACCUCUGCACAUCCCAUGAAUCACUUUGCCCAACCUUUUAAUGUCUUGGUCGGCCUGAAGCGUUUUACGGAUCUCAACGGAACACAUUGAAUGGGGGUCUCCGAUUGUAAUGAAUGCACGCAGGCCUCCUAUUGUAAGGAGCAAAGAGCAGCCAGAGCCUGACGUCAGGCCAUCAACCCCAGCGCAAAGUCUUUCCAGGGCACUGUCGAGAGUGGGCGAGCGGCGCGUGCCCCCCUGGUCCCAGCUGCAGUCCAACUGGAUGUGGGUGCGGCAGCGUCGGUGACACGUGAACCUACAGUCUGUGGAGGAGGGCAGGAGGAGACGGAAACACAUCAACAUCUCUGAGGGCUUUGCAGAGAUCAUCUCUCUCUGGCAUAUUUUCGGUUCAGAAUCGUACAAAUUGCAUUGCAGGCUCAUCGGGCUUUAUUCCAUCACGUCUCUUCCUAAAUGUUGGGGUAACUAUUUAGCUUUAUGGUCUCAUUUGAAUUCUUGAAUGGUGAUGUCCUCAAAUCAUACUAUGCAAUACUUGCAUUGUUACACACUGAUAAAUACAUGUUGUUUUA